rnacentral:tRNA from 1 species
UCUUCAAUAGCUCAGCGGUUAGAGCGGAUGGCUGUUAACCAUCAGGUCGUUGGUUCGAAUCCAUCUUGGGGAG